rnacentral:rRNA from 1 species
UAAACUAGGAUUAGAUACCCUAUUAUUAUAAAUGUUUAUUUUUAUACUAAAUUAUUAAUAGUUAUGUUCUUUAAAAUUAAAAAAUUUGGCGGUAUUUUAGUCUUUUCAGAGGAACCUGUCCUGUAAUUGAUAGUCCACGAUUAGGGAUACUUUAUUUAUUAAUUUACAUAUCGUCGUAGUUUGAAUAUUUUAUUAGAAUUAUAAUAUUCAAGAUUUUAUUUUAGAAAAUAUAUCAGAUCAAGGUGUAGUUUAUAAUAAAGAAGAGGUGGGUUACAAUAAAUUUAUUCUUGAAUAAAUUUUUUGAAAAAAUUUUGAAUUUGGAUUUGAAAGUAAUUUUUUGAGUUUUACUAAAAAUGAUUAUAGCUCUAAAAUAUGUACACAUCGCCCGUCGCUCUUAA